CACAGGUUACUCCCUUAUUUUGCUGUUGUAAAUGAUGCUGCCACAAACAUGGAUGUAUAAAUAGCCUUUUCCCCCUAUUCCAACCUGUAGCUUUUUUUAAAAGUGUUACAGUGAUACUAUAGUGGCGUGCAGGCUCUUAGCUGUGACCCAUGAGAUCGAAUUCCCUCAUCAGGGAUUGCACCCAGGCCCCUUGCAUUGGGAGCGUGGAGCCUUAGCCACGGGAUCACCAGCAUCAGAGUCUUUUCCAAUGAGUUGGCACUUCGCAUCAGGUGGCCAAAAUGAUGGAGCUUCAGCAUCAGUCGUUCCAAUGAAUAUUCUCAGGGUACCAGUACCUAACCUUCCAUCUACGAGCUGGGUCACUGUGGAUGGUUCAUCUCCCCUCUCUGAACCCCAGAAGAAAGGACUGGCUGCCUCUUAAGUUGUAUUCCACAGAGCCAGGGACUCACUGCUGUUAAAUCCUUGGAGCUGGGGAUUCCAGUGAGCAGCAAAAGGAAAUGUUCACAUACUGCUUCGUUAGACAGCGCCUGAAUUGACUACAUAGAGCUAGUGUUUCUCUUACGAUUUUUAAAACACAUCUUUAAGACUCUAAAUAGAAGGUACAAAGGCGAGUUUAAAACCAAGAAAAAGUUGAGCAUCAUCUUUUAACACAUCCAGGGACAUGUUGC
ensembl:lncRNA